AAAAAUUUAGUUAAAAAAUAACGUUAGCUUGUCAAGCUAGAAUUACACUUAAAAGUAAUUUUUA
rnacentral:tRNA from 1 species